AUUAUCCUUCCCCCGAAAGCCUCAAGACCUCCUCCAAGCGUGAGCCUUUGGAAAGCCUGACCUCAUUAUUAUGAUGAUGAUKAUUAUUAUUUCUGCAGUCGCUCUCUUUUUUAGGGACGGGCCUGUUUCCCCUCAAGCCACGACCUUGUGUGUCCAGGAGCGGUUCCCACRUCUGUCUGUCUGUCCGCUGCUGGCCUGCGCUGUGUUAUACCUCUGUCCCCCUCCCUUCCCCCAGUCUCCACUCAAACAAAGGGAGCGAGGAAAAGCGCAGCCCAGGAAGUGCAAAGUGGAAAGCGACCCUCUUCCUAUUUGACGACAGCGCUAAUUCCUCGGGGAUCCCACCUGAGAUUAAAGCUUGAAUUUCAAUAAAUCAUCUCUAAUGAAAACCCUCCCCUCUUCA
rnacentral:lncRNA from 1 species